GACAGAGGCCUCAAGCGUUAGGCGGAAUCACUGGGCUUAAAGCGUGUGUAGGCGGAUCGUUAAGUGCCUUGUGAAAUCCCACGGCUUAACUGUGGAACGGCUGGGCAUACUGGCGGUCUUGAGCCAUCUAGGGGCGACUGGAACAAACGGUGGAGCGGUGAAAUGCGUAGAUAUCGGUUGGAACGCCAAUGGUGAAAACAGGUCGCUGGGGAUGAGCUGACGCUGAGACGCGAAAGCGUGGGGAGCAAACAGG
rnacentral:rRNA from 1 species